AAAUUGAAGAGUUUGAUCAUGGCUCAGAUUGAACGCUGGCGGCAGGCCUAACACAUGCAAGUCGAACGGUAACAGGAAUCAGCUUGCUGAUUCGCUGACGAGUGGCGGACGGGUGAGUAAUGUCUGGGAAACUGCCUGAUGGAGGGGGAUAACUACUGGAAACGGUAGCUAAUACCGCAUAAUGUCGCAAGACCAAAGAGGGGGACCUUCGGGCCUCUUGCCAUCGGAUGUGCCCAGAUGGGAUUAGCUAGUAGGUGGGGUAACGGCUCACCUAGGCGACGAUCCCUAGCUGGUCUGAGAGGAUGACCAGCCACACUGGAACUGAGACACGGUCCAGACUCCUACGGGAGGCAGCAG
rnacentral:rRNA from 1 species